rnacentral:rRNA from 1 species
UACGUAGGGGGCAAGCGUUGUCCGGAAUCAUUGGGCGUAAAGAGCGUGUAGGCGGCCCGAUAAGUCCGCCGUGAAAGUCCAGGGCUCAACCCUGGAAUGCCGGUGGAAACUGUCGGGCUGGAGUCCGGAAGAGGCGAGUGGAAUUCCUGGUGUAGCGGUGAAAUGCGCAGAUAUCAGGAGGAACACCAAUGGCGAAGGCAGCUCGCCGGGACGGUACUGACGCUGAGACGCGAAAGCGUGGGGAGCAAACAGG